AAGUAAUUAGUUUAUUAAAAUAAAUGUUUGUCAAACAUUAGAAGGAGUUUUUCAUUACU
rnacentral:tRNA from 1 species